rnacentral:tRNA from 1 species
GUAGCGCAGCCUGGUAGCGCACCUGGUUUGGGACCAGGGGGUCGAAGGUUCGAGUCCUUUC